UCUGUGUAUCUUGGUUCGCGGGCGGCUU
rnacentral:piRNA from 2 species